rnacentral:lncRNA from 1 species
GGACAGAGUGCAGCUAAUAAGUAGAAAGAAAAGAAACUUUAGAAAAAAAUCUACCUGUAUUGAUGGGAGUCUUCUUCCAGGCGGCAGCGCUGCCCUUGCUGACAGGUCUCUCAGCAUGCUUACCUGGCCUACUCCCAAGUGCUGCUGCAGACGAUGCAUUCUGCAACUUGGGUGACUGGCUAAAUGCAUGCAACACUCCCCGCGGGGCUCCAGAGCCUCGAGACAUCUGGCUAGAAGUCUGCUUGAGCGAGUGGUGCUGCACGAUGGGGUCUGACUUGCUCUGUACGGGAGAUGCAGUCUGUUGCAGUAUCCUCUGCUCGAUCUCCUGCUCCUGCUGCAGAGCUUUGACGAAGGCAGCCUUCAGCCUGUUAGUGUGCUCUGCUUUCAAGGCCUUCUUCUGAUUGGAUGUCAUACAGGUUUCACACAUGAUGGUUCCAUUCUUCUCCUCCCUCCAGCGGCAGGUGAAGUCAGUCUUACACUGAGCGCACAUAUAGGGCUCGCGAGAUGAAACGGGGAUGGAAACUUUACCUUGAGUUUCCAGCAAAUUCUGCACCACUUCUUCCAAUCCAACCAGGUAAAUGAAUUCGUUAUUAGCUGCGCUGGGCAGGAAGUUCAUCUCUGGAGCAGGAGGCUUCGGAGGAGGGAUCUCCAGCAGUGUCUUCUCCAGCUGCUUCCGCAGCGCCAGCUUGGCUGCAGCUUGCCGGCUGGCGGGCGACUCGUUGGAGUUGACGAUGGAAGCAGCACUGGUGGUGGUCGCAUUCGCCUGAGCCGACGUCACCGUUGUACCCUUGAUUGAAGUUGGAGAGGCCUGCGGGAUGUUGACGAUCAGGCUGGUAUUGGGGACGUUGGCCACCCGGAUCAGACCCUGCUGGAUAAUUCUCUGCCCCUGAAUUUGCACGCUGGGGACCGAUGCCCGCGGUGCCAGCAGCAGUGGAGGUGGCCCCGUGCUGGAGUGCUGUCGGAUGUUGUGGAUUUGCUGUGCUCCUCUGACAAGGGGUGGCAUGACUAUCUGUGUGUUUUGCUGGGUUCCUAAUUUUGCAGAGGUCUGCUGCCCACCACGAACCAAUGGAGGAGGAAUAACAGUGCCCGGUAUACGUGUAGAAGAGGUCUUCUGAGCAGUGGUCUCCUUCUGGAUUUGACUCUGCCGUAACUUCUUCAAUAGGACCAGCUUUGCUUCCUCUAACCGCAGCUCUUCCUUCAGCUGUUUGAUCAUCCUCUCACGCUCCUCAGGACUGCUUUUCAUGAGUGCCUCUGUGUUGGUCUCUUUUAAUGCUAUUUUUGUUAAACCAUUCAUUCUAGGGCUAGAAGGUUCAUUGUCUGACAGCACUAUGACGUCCGGGGAGGGGACUCGCUUCUCUCUCUUUAUUUCACUUUUGGAAGUACUCAUGUCCACGGGCUCGUCUCCCGUCUGAACCUCCACUUUAAUGGUUGCUUUCACCUCUCCGCUUUUUAACAGUCCUUGCACUUUUCCAGCUCCGGGGUCCGUUUUUAUUUUCAUGUCUCCUUCGGCACUUAUUUCAGUUCCUAACAGUCCUUUCUCCAUCUUUAGUUUCUUGCUGUCCACAUCGUUAUGCGGUACCUCACGUUCUAAGGCUCGUUUCUGACUUCGUGUCCUGCAUGCUUCCUCUGUCAUUGUGAGGCUCUGUCAGUGAGGUUCAUGGGUCCCGCGGGGGGUCCUGUCUGCACCCAGGGGCUGAAAGUGACCGCAGUGCAGGUCAGCCGCGCCGCGUCCCGCCGCUCCCCGCCGGCUCUCCCCCGCUCCGCUCAGCUCCGCGCCGCCCUUUCCUCUCUUCCCCCGCGUCGCCGCGGGCUCUCCCCGGUGCGGGCUGUCGGCCGCGGCUCCCCCGUGCCAAAUAAUGCGCUUCUCACACAUGGAGUCGCGGCGUCACUCGGCGGAGCAUGCGCGCGGCGGGGCCCGGAGCGCGGCGGGGCCGGGAGGAGCGGCGGCAGCGCGGCCCCGCGCCGCUUCCGGGCAAUGGUGGAGCAGAUUGACGACUGCGCUGCCCAAUGAGAAACCGUGGUGUCCAAUCCCGCCAGCCAAUCGUGGCCACAGCCCGCCUUCGGCCAGCCCCCAUGCGAAGCCGCGAGGAACGAGGUGGGGCGAUGCUUAUGAUUGACGGGUAUCCUGACCACUAGGCUUCAAGCGACACCGCGUGAGUGGGCAAUCGGUAGCCAAUGCGCGGGGAAGGGGCGGGGCCGGGCCGCGAGGCGCGGGGUGGGGCCGCCCCCGAGGCCGGCUGAGGUCGGGGUGCGCGGGCACUGCCGGGCCCUCCGCCACGCCUCCGGGCUGAAGCGCGCCGUGCCGCAGGUGAGGGCCGCCCGAGUCCGGCCGCCGUCUGAGCGGGGCCGGAGGGGCGGUCCGAGAGCCGCCGGGAUCGCGCAGCGCCGCACUGCGCUGCCGGAACGCCGCGCUCCGGGCCGUGUCCGCCCCCCUCCCCCCUCUGCUUUCUGCCGCUGUUUCGCCCCGGAUGGAACAUCCGCAGCUCACGCAGCGCUCGGUGUCUCCUCCGUUUUAAAACCUGGAGGCGCUGUUGGCGAUACGUCGCUCUCUUCCACCCGUUGCGCAGCCCCGUUUCGCUCCGGGCUUCACCUGAGGCGGCCGAGCGCUGCAGGUCGGUGCUGACGGUGCCGGUCCGCCCUCGCGGCGCCGCCCGUUCACCUCCCUGCCUCAGCGGGGCCGCCAAAGCAGCAGAACUCCUCGCUUACCCGGCCGGGAGCUGCGGCUGUUCCCAGAAAUCUCCAUCGGUAACUUUUCCCGAAGCCGUCGUUCGGGUUCGAGCCUUCACGCGGCGAGCGGCUCCAUGGGAUGAAACCUAUUCGGCUGCUUCUGUGGUGCGAUGCGAGGCGCUGGCGAGCAGCUCGGGGGGUGCUUUGGAAGGGGACCGUAUGGCACAGGGCCUGAAACGCGUCGUUGCUUCCAAGUCUCGCUGCGGAUGGGUCAGCUCGGUGCAUUUCUUCCUUCUAAGUGUCAGGUCGGGAUGUGAAAAUACCUGCCCGAACUGCUCCAGCUGUGGGGUAAAGAGGCAGAAAGCACUUUUCCCUUAAACCAGAUCCCAUUUAUGAAGAUCAAACGUGAUAUCCAUCCUGAGAGCGCAACUGCGGUGAAUAAAUACCUCUGGCUUAGAGCUAAUUAAGAAAUAACAACCCCAGCUGUUGGACCGACCUGCAGAAGCCUUGUUGUAACCCUGACAUCUGCCCGCCUCCAGCAGUCCCUGCGAGUUCCUGGCCACAUCAGCCUUCCCUGGUCCUGCAGCAGCGUGCAGAGGAGACUGGCCAGGCUGGUGGUGGGUCCGUUCUGUGCCUGGAACUGUACGGGAGGUGGUCCAUCUGUCCACUGCAAGAUAACAAACAGCAUGAAAAUCCUCCAGCCACGACCUGGGAAGGGGAGGAGCAGCAGCAAGGCCAGAAAAAGGAGCUGCCCACACACACAUUGACUACCUUGAGAUCAUUUACUGAUUUCAUGACAAGCUGAGCAUCAGGUUUGACUCUGUGUCAUGUGCAUGGAGCAGGGGGAACUGUGACUUGCACAAAUGACAGACCUCAAUUUAGAUGCUUCUGUUUGAGCCCAUUCUACAGUGCAGCUACAGUGUUUCCAGAGUGAAUGAAGCCUCUGGUUCUCACCCGUUUCAUGUUUUCCUCUCAAAUUUAUCAAAAUCUCCUGAACUAGGCAGAUUUUGUAGUUUUUAAUCCUCUUCCACCUCCACAUUUUUAAUCUAGCAUGGAUUACACAUAAGCCAGCAAUGGCAAGCAAAGUCAGCAGAGCAUACAGCACAGGGGGAUGGGCUGUGGGCAUCACCAACGUGGGCUGCACAGCACAUGUGGGUCUCAGGAUCCCUCUGCAGCCAAAGCAAUCAGCUUCUUCCUGGCAGCCUUUUUUUUCCCCUCUCAUAAAGGGAACGUUGGGAAAAGAUGUCAGGUUUCCCUGCAUCCCACAUUCACAUUUGGACGUUAUUUCAGUCUGAAAGAAUGGCUUAUCUUUCACUUUUGCUGAAUUCCAGCAUAAGAGAGCACUUUGGUAUUUUUAAGCUAUGUUAAAAGUGUUUCUGACAGUGAGAAGUCCAAAAGAGGAACCCCUUAAGGUAGCAGCUCUACAGACAUUGAAUGUCAUUAACUGGAAAUUCAGAUUUAUAGAUAAGGUGAAAACCCACAAAUGCUAGAAUUAUCUCAAUAGAAACCAUACUCAUAGCAGUACUCAAAGCAUUCCCCUGAAGAAGGGGAUCUAAACAUUAAAAUUAAACCCGAGUAUCCAUUAAUUUUCUUUCAAAAGUAGCAGCUGUCCCCAGCACAAAGUGGCUACCUGCUACAGAAGGCAUUAAAAGAAAGUUCUGGAGUGCCAAUAAAACCACUGAAGGAAACAAAGACCUCACAGGGAUAUCGAGGGAAAGCAAAGCACGCUGUCCUGCCUCAAGAGUGCCCAGAACCAGAAGAUGAAGAUUGCUUACCGUGAUUAAAUUGUGUUCUGGAAGACUGCAUGCUUCAAUGUGGUCCUGGAGGAGCUGCUGUGAGAAGUUCUGAUGCAUCUGUGCUGCCUCAUGUGCAUCCAUUGCAUUUCCACAGGCUUUGUUCAGGUCUGAAAGACAAGAGCUUCAUUUGCUCACCAAGAACCACCGUUCACACUUAUCUUCUCUGAUGUGACUCUUCCCCAUAGUAAUGAAUGAAUGACUUAAACUGCCAAUAUAUCAAGGCCAUCCCACUCAGAAGGGCAGGGGCACAUUGAGAACCUGAGCCUUUCCUCCUUCCAACAUUGCAGGAUUUGAUGUUAUUUUAGUUUCCAAUCAUUCAAAUAACACUACGCUAAUUGGACAAGCAGGAAAGCACCUCCUUACCCAGCAGAGCCCCUGUGCUGCAGGCACACACACUCUCUAUGUUCUGGCACCAUCUAGUGGGAAUGAGGGCUCACCAGUUUGUCACCAUGCUUUGGCAGCACAGACCUCACAGCAGUUCAUUUAUUUUCCCUCCUCGUUCCCCUUUGCUUUCAGGCCCUCACAGCCUGCAGCUCUGCCCAUCCCCAACGCAGCUCCUAUUGUCUUGUUUCCUGUGAGGUUUGCUGGCAUAUAUUAGCUCAGCCACAUUUCAGAAUGGUAACACAGUAAGCAUGGCAAUGUUAGCUAACAGGGAUAAGCAGUGUAGAGGUGAGGGCUGAGACACACAGCUCCUGUUGGUGAACAAGUGCUGGCAUUCCACUGCUCCUGAUGGAGCACCUCUUCAAAAGAGAAUCUAUCCGUUCCAUGGGAGAGCUCUUAGAAAAACCAAAGCAGAAUGGGAAUGGUGCCUCUGUGACAGGAGCAGCAACAGCUGAACAAGGGACAGCCUUUCAUCUACAGUAGAUUCAUUAUUAUUAUUGGCAUGUUUUGUAUGUCAACCACCACUUGGAAACGAAUGAGAGAAGUUAUUUCAAUUGCCUAGAAGCAAUUUUGUAGCAAAGGCAGUAGCAAAGCAGAACAUAAGCCUGGCCCAGUGCUUGGUUUACAGCACCAUGCUUAUAGCAAACACGACAGCUUAAUAGAAACUGAAACUGUGGGGUAAGUUCUUGGGAAAGGGGUAGAGUUACUGCUUUAUUUUCUAGUGAAAGCAAAUCAAUUGCAGCAUUAACGCUGACAGUCUGCCAAGAAGCUAGUCAAUAUUUGAACAAAGCAUCCUGGGGCCCAUGCAAGUCAGAUUAAACAAUAUUUAUGUAUGAGAGAUAUAACAGUCUCUUGUAUUUAUUAAGGCCCCCACACAGAAGCAAAGCCUAAUAAAAUGUUUACUGAAGCAAGAGCUGCAGUCAGAGCAAAGCCCUGCAACAACAGCACGGAUGCUGCAUGGCUGUGACCUGCAGCCCUUCCCAAGCAGUCACAGUAUUCUGCACGCCCAUGCACUCAGUCUGCAUGACGAGCAUCCCCACACAGACUCCCAGUGAGCAGCAGUGGUUCUUUGCCACUCAUUUUAAGCACAAGACAUUUUCCUCCCUUACCUCUCAGCAGAGCUGAAGACCACAGCUGCACAGACAUAUCCGGGAUCUUGCUUGCAAGCUGCAUGGCUGGCACUACCAUAUUAUUACUUUCCUGGUGAAAAGCAGACAUCAACAUCAAAGACGUACUUUUUCCCCUUCCAAAUAUGUAAUGUAUCGAAGAGAUGCUUUUGCCUAAUUUAAUUGCUAGCUAGCAAGCUGAAAUGCUUAAUGGGACAAUAACGCAAACAGAUCAUCUAAAGCUGCCUGGAAUUUUGCCUUGUCCCAGGCAUUAUGGUGUCUGUGUUGUGCAAGACAAUAGAAAUAUUUCACACAUUCUGGCAUACGAUGAGAAUUCAGAAGAGCUCACACCCACAAUUCCUUCCAAGCAAUCCCACUGCAUGACGUUACUUGUCCUUUAUUCUAUUGUUUUUUUUUUCCCCCCCCGAGUGAUUUCAGGCAUUACAGAAACACCUAUCUCUACAAUAGCAGCCAAACACUACUGCUUUGUAAAGAGUGUUGCUCAGUGUGCAAGAAUGGUGUAUAUCCACGAGCUGCCGGCUCUCAGUGGGGCACCUACAUACAAACACUCCUGAACACAACCUGAGAAGCGCCCCAAUUUGCUCUGGCAAAUCAAUAAGCACACAGUAGCAGCAGACACACGAAGGCUUACCCUGUGAUUCCCUAAUACGUAGAAUAUAUGACCCAGGAGCACGAGGGAACAUGCUGUUAAUCGAUUCAAAUCUUCUGCAUUUGACAUUUUCAGCGUCUCUCGCAAAAACCGCCUGCCAACACAGAGCACAGCACGGAGCAAUUAACCAAAAUCUGCCUUCCCUGAUGUCUUUAAGAAAUGUCAUGAAGAACCCAAUGAACCCCAUCAGCAAAUGAGCACCCGGGAAUAAACGCGUGCUGCAGGUGACCUGAAACAAAGAGCUCCAUUCCCAAACCUCACCUUUCAUUUAGCAAGAAGGACUAUAACAUAUCCCCCUUUGAAAAGCCUUUCUUUCAGGUGGGCCACUGCAGAACACCACACAAGUAUUACUCAGAGCAAAAGAGAUGUAAAACAGUCUUUGCCUCAAGCGAAACAGAAGGUUGGCUAAACCCACGGGGAACCCAGGAGGUUGGAAAGCAAAGCCUUUGAGUUUUCGUGUUGAGUUUAAAUCCCGAUUUGGUUUUUCCUUCUCCCCCCCCUUCCAGGUGCAGAGCUUUGUACUCACUUUGCCUCGUUGUAUCUUCCUUGGAAGAAGGAGAACAGACCUCGGAUAUAGAAAGCUGCUGCUCGAAGGCAGUGGGAGCUACAAACAAAGCAGAACGUUGACAUUGAGGCACUGCACAGCGACAAACACAGCACGGGCUGUGUCCCAUAACCAAACCUCUGCACAAAACAUUACAUUGAACAAACAGUCAGAGCUUCUGCCUUGAAAAGAAGAGGAUUAUUCUGUCUUCUGUGAAUAAAGCCUGAUACAAAACCAGUAUUACCAUCAUCAGUGCAACAUCAGCACAGUUUCUGGAACUCUCACCUCACAGGAAAAUUGUGGUCUGGAUUUAUCCUUUCCAAUAAGCUGUAAAGCUGCAAAGUGAGAGGGGAAAAAGGAUAAUCAGUGCUUCUGACAUAUACAGCUGAUGGUAUAGACAGCAUGAGUCUGACACAAAGUGCACAUCACAUCAAAACAUUCAAGUCACUACAAACACACUGACAUUUACUUAUAUUGGUUAAAUCAAACAACAGGUGUUCCAAUGCUAGAAAUUAUGUCCAUUCUGGUCCUAGAAAC